UGUUCCCCAAUAUACUAAAAUUGGAACGAUACAGAGAAGAUUAGCAUGGCCCCUACAUGCAAAUUUUUAAAAGCUAAGUAAUUUGGAUUUUU
ensembl:snRNA U6 U6 spliceosomal RNA